rnacentral:rRNA from 1 species
UACGUAGGUGGCAAGCGUUGUCCGGAUUUAUUGGGUUUAAAGGGUGCGUAGGCGGGUUUUUAAGUCAGCGGUGAAAGCUCCGAGCUUAACUCGGAAAUUGCCGUUGAUACUAUUAAUCUUGAAUUUAGUUGAGGUGGGCGGAAUGUGUAGUGUAGCGGUGAAAUGCUUAGAUAUUACACAGAACACCUAUUGCGAAGGCAGCUCGCUAAACUAAUAUUGACGCUGAGGCACGAAAGCGUGGGGAUCAAACAGG